UACGUAGGGGGCGAGCGUUGUCCGGAAUCAUUGGGCGUAAAGAGCGUGUAGGCGGCCAGGUAGGUCUGCUGUGAAAACUCGAGGCUCAACCUCGAGACGUCGGCGGAAACCAUCUGGCUAGAGUCCGGAAGAGGAGAGUGGAAUUCCUGGUGUAGCGGUGAAAUGCGCAGAUAUCAGGAGGAACACCCGUGGCGAAGGCGGCUCUCUGGGACGGUACUGACGCUGAGACGCGAAAGCGUGGGGAGCGAACAGG
rnacentral:rRNA from 1 species